rnacentral:rRNA from 1 species
AUUGAACGCUGGCGGCAUGCCUUACACAUGCAAGUCGAACGGUAACAGGUCUUCGGAUGCUGACGAGUGGCGAACGGGUGAGUAAUACAUCGGAACGUGCCUAGUAGUGGGGGAUAACUACUCGAAAGAGUGGCUAAUACCGCAUGAUAUCUACGGAUGAAAGCAGGGGAUCGCAAGACCUUGUGCUACUAGCGCGGCCGAUGGCAGAUUAGGUAGUUGGUGGGAUAAAAGCUUACCAAGCCGACGAUCUGUAGAUGGUCUGAGAGGACGAUCAGCCACACUGGGACUGAGACACGGCCCAGACUCCUACGGGAGGCAGCAGUGGGGAAUUUUGGACAAUGGGCGCAAGCCUGAUCCAGCAAUGCCGCGUGCAGGAUGAAGGCCUUCGGGUUGUAAACUGCUUUUGUACGGAACGAAAAGCCCCGGGUUAAUACCCUGGGGUCAUGACGGUACCGUAAGAAUAAGCACCGGCUAACUACGUGCCAGCAGCCGCGGUAA